rnacentral:ncRNA from 1 species
UGAAUACGUCUUAAAAAAGGUGCGGGUCCCUUGCGGGCCCGCUUAAAAGGGAAGCCGGUUGAAAUCCGGCGCGGUCCCGCCACUGUAAUUGCGGAGCGUCCCUCCGAGUUAGCUGGCCACUGCUCUCUUGAUGGAGCGGGAAGGCCGGAGGGAAGCGGUGAGGCAUAAGCCAGGAGACCUGCCUUUUUGUCACAUACGGC